AUAUUACCCGGCCGGAGAUACCGGGGUCAUGAAGGGGGUUUUCCAAAGGGGAGGCUACCCUUGCACUCCGGGGGCGCGCCCUUGCGAUUAACCCAAAAGGGUUUAACUCGAGUGCGCAAAUUUUUUUUAUGGGGGACUGCGUUGCGCUAUCCCCCU